rnacentral:rRNA from 1 species
AACGAACGCUGGCGGCAUGCCUAACACAUGCAAGUCGAACGAGACCUUCGGGUCUAGUGGCGCACGGGUGCGUAACGCGUGGGAACCUGCCCUUAGGUUCGGAAUCACUCCCCGAAAGGGGUGCUAAUACCGGCUAAUGUCUUCGGACCAAAGAUUUAUCGCCUUGGGAUGGGCCCGCGUUUGUUUAGCUAGUUGGUAGGGUAAAAGCCUACCAAGGCGACGAUCCAUAGCUGGUCUGAGAGGAUGAUCAGCCACACUGGGACUGAGACACGGCCCAGACUCCUACGGGAAGCAGCAGUGGGGAAUAUUGGACAAUGGGCGAGAGCCUGAUCCAGCAAUGCCGUGUGAGUGAUGAAGGCCUUAGGGUUGUAAAGCUCUUUUACCCGGGAUGAUAAUGACAGUACCGGGAGAAUAAGCUCCGGCUAACUCCGUG